rnacentral:misc_RNA from 1 species
GCGGAGGAAAAGAAACCAACAGGGAUUGCCUUAGUAACGGCGAGUGAAGCGGCAACAGCUCAAAUUUGAAAUCUGGCUCCUUCGGGGCCCGAGUUGUAAUUUGCAGAGGAUGCUUCGGGUUUGGGUUCCUUCCGAGUUCCCUGGAACGGGACGCCAUAGAGGGUGAGAGCCCCGUCUGGUAGGAAACCCAGCCCAUGUGAAGCUCCCUCGACGAGUCGAGUAGUUUGGGAAUGCUGCUCUAAGGGGAGGUAUACUCCUUCCAAGGCUAAAUACCGGCUAGAGACCGAUAGCGCACAAGUAGAGUGAUCGAAAGAUGAAAAGUACUUUGAAAAGAGAGUCAAACAGCACGUGAAAUUGUUAAAAGGGAAGCGCUCGCUACCAGACGUGGGUUCGGUGGUUCAACCAGGUCCAUGACCUGGGGCACUCCGCCGGCCCAGGCCAGCAUCAGCUUUCCGUCGGGGGCAAAGGCGUCGGGAAUGUGGCUCCCCUUCGGGGGAGUGUUAUAGCCCGUCGCGUCAUACCCUUCGGGGGGCUGAGGUACGCGCUCCGCAAGGAUGCUGGCGUAAUGGUAGCUAGUGACCCGUCUUGAAACACGGACCAAGGAGUCAACCUUAUGUGCGAGUGCCCGGGCGUAAAACCCCAGCGCGGAAUGAAAGUGAACGUAGGUGAGAGCUUCGGCGCAUCACCGACCGAUCCUGAUGUCCUCGGACGGAUUUGAGUGAGAGCAUAUAGGGUUGGACCCGAAAGAAGAUGAACUAUGCGUGUGUAGGGUGAAUCCAGAGGAAACUCUGGUGGAGGCUCGCAGCGGUUCUGACGUGCAAAUCGA